rnacentral:rRNA from 1 species
AAUAUUGGACAAUGGGCGAAAGCCUGAUCCAGCCAUGCCGCGUGUGUGAAGAAGGUCUUCGGUUUGUAAAGCACUUUAAGUUGGGAGGAAGGUCAGUAAGUAAAUACCUUGCUGUUUUGACGUUACCAACAGAAUAAGCACCGGCUAACUCCGUGCCAGCAGCCGCGGUAAUACGAAGGGUGCAAGCGUUAAUCGGAAUUACUGGGCGUAAAGCGCGCGUAGGUGGUUUGUUAAGUUGGAAGUGAAAGCCCCGGGCUCAACCUGGGAGCUGCUUUCAUAACUGCUGAGCUAGAGUAUGGCAGAGGGUGGUGGAAUUUCCUGUGUAGCGGUGAAAUGCGUUGAUAUAGGAAGGAACACCAGUGGCGAAGGCGACCACCUGGGCUAAUACUGACACUGAGGUGCGAAAGCGUGGGGAGCAAAC